CCUACGGGAGGCAGCAGUGAGGAAUAUUGGUCAAUGGCCGGAAGGCUGAACCAGCCAUGCCGCGUGAAGGUCAGUGCCCUAUGGGCGUUAAACUUCUUUUGUGCGGGAGCAAUAAUGGUCACGUGUGGCCAGACGAGAGUACCGUACGAAUAAGCAUCGGCUAACUCCGUGCCAGCAGCCGCGGUAAUACGGGGGAUGCAAGCGUUAUCCGGAUUUAUUGGGUUUAAAGGGUGCGUAGGCUGUGAGGUAAGUCAGCGGUGAAAUGCCCCCGCUCAAAGGGGUGAAGUGCCAUUGAUACUGCCUGGCUGGAAUGCGGAUGCGGUGGGAGGAAUGUGUGGUGUAGCGGUGAAAUGCAUAGAUAUCACACAGAACACCGAUUGCGAAGGCAUCUCACGAAUCUGCGAUUGACGCUGAGGCACGAAAGCGUGGGUAUCAAACAGGAUUAGAUACCCCUGUAGUC
rnacentral:rRNA from 1 species